UACUGCAAGGAGUCUAAUUUGUGGGGCAUUUGGAUAAAAUGAAACAUAGUGUGUUGUGCAUUACACAUCAUGUGCACCUGUGAUGGGGAUUGGGGAUUGCAAUUAUUCCCCAUGAAUGAGGAAUUCCCAGUAAGUGUGGGGCAUAAACUCACUUUGAUGAAGUCCCUG
rfam:Pelecanus crispus contig75172, whole genome shotgun sequence.